rnacentral:rRNA from 1 species
GRRAAAGGAACUAACAGGGAUUCCCCUAGUAACUGCGAGUGAAGCGGGAAAAGCUCAAAUUUAAAAUCUGGCGGUCUUUGGCCGUCCGAGUUGUAGUCUGGAGAAGUGCUUUCCGCGCUGGACCGUGUACAAGUCUCUUGGAAACAGAGCAUCAUAGAGGGGUGGAGAAUCCCGUCUUUGACACGGACUACCAGUGCUUUGUGAUGCGCUCUCAAAGAGUCGAGUUGUUUGGGAAUGCAGCUCAAAAUGGGUGGUGAAUUCCAUCUAAAGCUAAAUAUUGGCGAGAGACCGAUAGCGAACAAGUACCGUGAGGGAAAGAUGAAAAGCACUUUGGAAAGAGAGUUAAACAGUACGUGAAAUUGCUGAAAGGGAAACGCUUGAAGUCAGUCGCGUUGUCCAGAACUCAGCCUUGCUUUUGCUUGGUGCACUUUCUGGAUAACGGGCCAGCAUCGAUUUUGACCGUCGGAAAAGGGCUAGAGUAAUGUGGCACCUUUUGGUGUGUUAUAGACUCUAGCCGCAUACGGCGGUUGGGAUCGAGGACCGCAGCGCGCCGCAAGGCAGGGGUUUGCCCACUUUCGCGCUUAGGAUGCUGGCAUAAUGGCUUUAAACGACCCGUCUUGAAACACGGACCAAGGAGUCUAACAUGCCUGCGAGUGUUUGGGUGGAAAACCCGAGCGCGUAAUGAAAGUGAAAGUUGAGACCUCUGUCGUGGAGGGCAUCGACGCCCGGGACCUGACGUUCUCUGAAGGAUCCGCCGGUAAGAGCAUGUUAUUUGUUGGGACCCGAAAGAUGGUGAACUAUGCCUGAAUAGGGUGAAGCCAGAGGAAACUCUGGUGGAGGCUCGUAGCGAUUCUGACGUGCAAAUCGAUCGUCAAAUUUGGGUAUAGGGGCGAAAGACUAAUCGAACCMUYA